AAUAAUGUGAAAUAAAGUAAAUAUGCAGAAAUAAUCAGAAUGCAAAUAAGUGAUAAUAUACAUGAAAUACUGCAAAAUAAGAGAUUGAUGUAGAAGUAAAUAUAGUUAGAAAAAUAAUCUUGCAAAAUCAAUGGACAAUCAAAUGAAAGUGCACUGAAAAUAAUAUACUGGUUAUUAAUUAAGACAUAGCAAUAAAAAGAUUACAAAUGUACCAAAAAUAAAAAUAAAUGAGGUAAAAGCAUAAUUAUUUUUCCUCGAAGAUAUUAGAGAGAAAAUGGAAAGCUAGGAACGAAAAAUACGCGCCAACAGAAAGUAAUCCAAAAUAAUAUGAAGUUAAUGACCAGCUGUGAAAAAAAUGAUUGUGGUGAAUUAAAAAGAUUACAAAUGUACCAAAAAUAAAAGAGCUAAAAGCAUAAUAUUUUUUCCUCGAAGAUAUUAGAGAGGAACAAAAAAUACGCGCCAACAGAAAGUAAUCCAAAAUAAUAGGGAGUUAAUGACCGGCUGUGAAAAAAUGAUUGUAGUGAAUAUAAUGAAAGAAAUAACAACAAAAAGAGAAGCAAAAGCGAUUGGUAGGCAGGGCAGUUGUCUCUGAUUCUGUUAUUCUUCGUUCGCCUUCUGUUUCUUGGCCGUAGAUUUCUUGGUGCUUGGAAGUAUAACGUGAACGGAAUAAAAAAUCGAAAUAACAAAAGAAAAGCACGUAGGCAAUUAGGGUUGUUUUGAAAUCGUUGCUUGUAUUACUGUUAGUUUUGUUUAUUGAAGUUGAUUAGGUUUUUUUAUAUAUA